AUGCCCCAUUGGGUGCUCCACUGGGUUCUCCAUUGGGUGUCCCAUUGGGUGCUCCAUGGGUGCUCCAUUGGGUUCCCCAUUGGGUGCUCCAUUGGGUUCCCCAUUGGGUUCUCCAUUGGGUUCUCCAUUGGGUGCUCCAUUGGGUUCUCCAUUGGGUUCCCCAUUGGGUGUCCCAUUGGGUGUCCCAUUGGGUUCCCCAUUGAAUGCCCCAUUGAGUGCUCCACUGGGUUCUCCAUUGGGUGUCCCAUUGGGUUCUCCAUUGGGUGCUCCAUUGGGUUCCCCAUUGGGUUCUCCAUUGGGUUCUCCAUUGGGUGCUCCAUUGGGUUCCCCAUUGGGUUCUCCAUUGGGUGCUCCAUUGGGUUCCCCAUUGGGUUCUCCAUUGGGUUCUCCAUUGGGUUCCCCAUUGGGUUCUCAAUUGGGUUCCCCAUUGCGUGCUCCAUUGGGUUCCCCAUUGGGUUCUCCAUUGGGUUCUCCAUUGGGUUCUCCAUUGGAUUCUCCAUUGGGUUCUCCAUUGGGUGCUCCAUUGGGUUCUCCAUUGGGUUAUCCAUUGGGUUCUCCAUUGGAUUCCCCAUUGCGUGCUCCAUUGGGUUCCCCAUUGGGUUCUCCAUUGGGUUCUCCAUUGGGUUCCCCAUUGGGUUCUCCAUUGGGUUCUCCAUUGGGUUCUCCAUUGGGUUCCCCAUUGGGUUCUCCAUUGGGUGUCCCAUUGGAUUCCCCAUUGGGUUCUCCAUUGGGUUCCCCAUUGGGUGCCCCAUUGGGUCCCAUUGUGCCCCCGCAGAUCGAGGAGAUCUUCAAGGCUGCCGGGCACCCGUUCAUGUGGAACGAGCACCUGGGCUACAUCCUGACCUGCCCGUCCAACCUGGGCACGGGGCUGCGCGGCGGCGUCCACGUGCGCCUGCCCCAGCUCAGUCAGCACCCCAAGUUCGAGGAGAUCCUCAAGCGCCUGCGCCUCCAGAAGCGCGGCACAGGUGGGGCGGAACGGGGGGGGGAUGGAGAGGGGACAUGGGGGGGGGGGUUAUGGGGAUGUGGUAUGGGAUAUGGGAUGUGGGGAAUGGGAUAUGG
rnacentral:lncRNA from 1 species